rnacentral:rRNA from 1 species
CAGCCGCCGCGGGAAUACGUAGGUGGCAAGCGUUGUCCGGAAUUAUUGGGCGUAAAGGGCUCGCAGGCGGUUUCUUAAGUCUGAUGUGAAAGCCCCCGGCUCAACCGGGGAGGGUCAUUGGAAACUGGGAAACUUGAGUGCAGAAGAGGAGAGUGGAAUUCCACGUGUAGCGGUGAAAUGCGUAGAGAUGUGGAGGAACACCAGUGGCGAAGGCGACUCUCUGGUCUGUAACUGACGCUGAGGCUCGAAAGCGUGGGGAGCAAACAGGAUUAGAUACCCCGGUAGUCCCUGUCUCUUAUAC